UACGGAGGAUCCGAGCGUUAUCCGGAUUUAUUGGGUUUAAAGGGUGCGCAGGCGGGAGAUUAAGUCGGCGGUGAAAUUUUGCAGCUUAACUGUAAAAGUGCCUUCGAAACUGGUUUCCUUGAGUGUAGAUGAAGUAGGCGGAAUUUGUGGUGUAGCGGUGAAAUGCAUAGAUAUCACGAGGAACUCCGAUUGCGCAGGCAGCUUACUAAACUACUACUGACGCUCAGGCACGAAGGCGUGGGGAUCAAACAGGAUUAGAUACCCCGGUAGUCCCU
rnacentral:rRNA from 1 species